rnacentral:rRNA from 1 species
CAAGCGUUGUUCGGAAUUACUGGGCGUAAAGGGCGCGUAGGCGGCCUUCUAAGUCGAACGUGAAAUCCCCGGGCUCAACCCGGGAACUGCGUCCGAUACUGGAAGGCUUGAAUCCGGGAGAGGGAUGCGGAAUUCCAGGUGUAGCGGUGAAAUGCGUAGAUAUCUGGAGGAACACCGGUGGCGAAGGCGGCAUCCUGGACCGGCAUUGACGCUGAGGCGCGAAAGCCAGGGGAGCAAACGGG